AAGAGAAAUAAGUUUAAUAAAGGAGCUGCUAACUACCUUUUAAAGCGGUUAAAUUCCGUUUAUCUCUUA
rnacentral:tRNA from 1 species